CCCUUAAUGUAUUUAUUGUAAUAUUUUAAUGUAUUUAUUUAUUGUCACCCAAAAUUGAUUGUUAAAUUCAACAUCUUUAUUCCUUUGGAUGGGUCAAUGGCACAGAAGAAAAGAAUGAAAGCAAUUUGUUGUUUCCAAAGCAACCAAGCAGGGUCCUGAACUAUAAUGCUUUUGUCUCUGAAAGUGGGUGGAGUUGGAUUAAAUGUGACAGCAGCUUUCCUAAUGUUCUUAAUGGAUCCUGAUUCAGUAGAAGAAAAUAUCCUGAAAAUUCAGAACAAGAAGAUGGAACUUGCAGCAGGAGCCUUUGCUACCAAAAAGCCUUCAGCAAGUGAAAUAAAACAAAAAAUAUUUAACAAAAUUAAGCAUAAAUAACAUAUGUAAUAUUUUGGAUAAUACUUCUCUUCAGGUUAUGUGUCCCAUUCUAAUUUUCACUUUUGCUGUCUUUGUGCUCAAAAUAGAAAUGCUUCAAAUAAAUUAUAAAAACUAACCCCUGAAA